rnacentral:rRNA from 1 species
GUGGGGAAUAUUGGACAAUGGGCGAAAGCCUGAUCCAGCCAUGCCGCGUGUGUGAAGAAGGUCUUCGGAUUGUAAAGCACUUUAAGUUGAGAGGAAGGGCAGUAAGUUAAUACCUUGCUGUUUUGACGUUACCAACAGAAUAAGCACCGGCUAACUUCGUGCCAGCAGCCGCGGUAAUACGAAGGGUGCAAGCGUUAAUCGGAAUUACUGGGCGUAAAGCGCGCGUAGGUGGUUCAGCAAGUUGAAGGUGAAAUCCCCGGGCUCAACCUGGGAACUGCCUCCAAAACUACUGAGCUAGAGUACGGUAGAGGGUAGUGGAAUUUCCUGUGUAGCGGUGAAAUGCGUAGAUAUAGGAAGGAACACCAGUGGCGAAGGCGACUACCUGGACUGAUACUGACACUGAGGUGCGAAAGCGUGGGGAGCAAACAGGAUUAGAAACCCCAGUAGUCC